rnacentral:rRNA from 1 species
GUGAAGCGGCAAAAGCUCAAUUUGAAAACGCUUCGGCGUGUUGUAAGUAAAGUGGUUAGACGCUUUUUAAUAAGUCCCUUGGAACAGGGCGCCAUAGAGGGUGAUAGCCCCGUAUUAAAUUGUCUAGUGUGCUACUUUAGAGCGAGUCGAGUUGUUUGGGAAUGCAGCUCAAAUAGGUGGUAAACUCCAUCUAAAGCUAAAUAUUGCUGGGAGACCGAUAGCGAACAAGUACAGUGAUGGAAAGAUGAAAAGCACUUUGAAAAGAGAGUGAAAUAGCGUGUGAAAUUGUUGGAGGGGAAGGCGAUGGUAGGAAUAAGAGGCUGCGGUUUGAAAUAAUUAUUUUUCGGGCCACGGUCUCCUGAGCCUGCUUUCGCACCCGUCUUGAAACACGGACCAAGGAGUCUAACGGUAUUGCGAGUGUAUGGGUGUUAAACCCCAACGCGAAAUGAAAGUGACGGUCUUUUUAUGAAAAGACUG